AUUGAACGCUGGCGGCAGGCCUAACACAUGCAAGUCGAGCGGAUGAAGGGAGCUUGCUCCUGGAUUCAGCGGCGGACGGGUGAGUAAUGCCUAGGAAUCUGCCUGGUAGUGGGGGAUAACGUCCGGAAACGGGCGCUAAUACCGCAUACGUCCUGAGGGUGAAAGUGGGGGAGCUUCGGACCUCACGCUAUCAGAUGAGCCUAGGUCGGAUUAGCUAGCUGGUGGGGUAAAGGCCUACCAAGGCGACGAUCCGUAACUGGUCUGAGAGGAUGAUCAGUCACACUGGAACUGAGACACGGUCCAGACUCCUACGGGAGGCCGCAGUGGGGAAUAUUGGACAAUGGGCGAAAGCCUGAUCCAGCCAUGCCGCGUGUGUGAAGAAGGUCUUCGGAUUGUAAAGCACUUUAAGUUGGGAGGAAGGGCAGUAAGUUAAUACCUUGCUGUUUUGACGUUACCAACAGAAUAAGCACCGGCUAACUUCGUG
rnacentral:rRNA from 1 species